GAUGAACGCUGGCGGCGUGCCUAGUACAUGCAAGUCGAGCGAACGGACGAGAAGCUUGCUUCUCUGAUGUUAGCGGCGGACGGGUGAGUAACACGUGGAUAACCUACCUAUAGGACUGGGAUAACUUCGGGAAACCGUAGCUAAUACCGGAUAAUAUUUUGAACCGCAUGGUUCAAAAGUGAAAGACGGUCUUGCUGUCACUUAUAGAUGGAUCCGCGCUGCAUUAGCUAGUUGGUAAGGUAACGGCUUACCAAGGCAACGAUGCAUAGCCGACCUGAGAGGGUGAUCGGCCACACUGGAACUGAGACACGGUCCAGACUCCUACGGGAGGCAGCAGUAGGGAAUCUUCCGCAAUGGGCGAAAGCCUGACGGAGCAACGCCGCGUGAGUGAUGAAGGUCUUCGGAUCGUAAAACUCUGUUAUUAGGGAAGAACAUAUGUGUAAGUAACUGUGCACAUCUUGACGGUACCUAAUCAGAAAGCCACGGCUAACUACGUG
rnacentral:rRNA from 1 species